CGGCGGACGGGUGAGUAACACGUGGAUAACCUACCUAUAAGACUGGGAUAACUUCGGGAAACCGGAGCUAAUACCGGAUAAUAUAUUGAACCGCAUGGUUCAAUAGUGAAAGACGGUUUUGCUGUCACUUAUAGAUGGAUCCGCGCCGCAUUAGCUAGUUGGUAAGGUAACGGCUUACCAAGGCAACGACGCGUAGCCGACCUGAGAGGGUGAUCGGCCACACUGGAACUGAGACACGGUCCAGACUCCUACGGGAGGCAGCAGUC
rnacentral:rRNA from 1 species